GUAUGUAGAACUUAUAAUAUAUUAACCUUUUUAUAUAUCUGAUUCAUAUUUGCUAAAUGGCAGCUAAAAUACAUGCACAUAUUUUUUGUUGUCUUCAACAGAUGUUUCUGAGUCCUCAACUCUUCUGAUUAUUGUAGUGUCUUCAGUCUCGCUUUUGUUCAUCAUCAUUGCAGCUGUGAUUCUUAUAAGAAGAAGGAAAGCAGCAAAAGAAAGAGAAGAACCCAUGGAUUCUCAUUAUGCCUCUUUACAAAUAACUGCUGAAACUCAAGCAUCACCAGUUUACUCAAGCCUACAGGAUACACUGAAGGAGUGAAAAAGGAUGACAUAUAAAGAUACAGAUGUCAACAUUAAACCCAAUAUAUGAGCCAAUAUUAUACCAGCAGUAACUGUAAUUGUUUAUUCAGACAAUAAAUCUAUUGAUGCAGAA